rnacentral:rRNA from 1 species
UACGUAGGGGGCUAACGUUGCUCGGAAUCACUGGGCGUAAAGGGUGCGUAGGCGGGUCUUUAAGUCAGGGGUGAAAUCCUGGAGCUCAACUCCAGAACUGCCUUUGAUACUGAGGAUCUUGAGUUCGGGAGAGGUGAGUGGAACUGCGAGUGUAGAGGUGAAAUUCGUAGAUAUUCGCAAGAACACCAGUGGCGAAGGCGGCUCACUGGCCCGAUACUGACGCUGAGGCACGAAAGCGUGGGGAGCAAACAGG